rnacentral:rRNA from 1 species
UACGUAGGGGGCAAGCGUUGUCCGGAUUUAUUGGGCGUAAAGAGCGUGUAGGCGGCCUGAUAGGUCGGUUGUGAAAACUGGAGGCUUAACCUUCAGACGUCGGCCGAAACCAUCUGGCUAGAGUCCGGAAGAGGAGAGUGGAAUUCCUGGUGUAGCGGUGAAAUGCGCAGAUAUCAGGAAGAACACCGGUGGCGAAGGCGGGUCUCUGGGCCGAUACUGACGCUGAGAAGCGAAAGCGUGGGGAGCGAACAGG